GAUGAACGCUGGCGGCGUGCCUAAUACAUGCAAGUCGAGCGAACGGACGAGAAGCUUGCUUCUCUGAUGUUAGCGGCGGACGGGUGAGUAACACGUGGAUAACCUACCUAUAAGACUGGGAUAACUUCGGGAACCGGAGCUAAUACCGGAUAAUAUUUUGAACCGCAUGGUUCAAAAGUGAAAGACGGUCUUGCUGUCACUUAUAGAUGGAUCCGCGCUGCAUUAGCUAGUUGGUAAGGUAACGGCUUACCAAGGCAACGAUGCAUAGCCGACCUGAGAGGGUGAUCGGCCACACUGGAACUGAGACACGGUCCAGACUCCUACGGGAGGCAGCAGUAGGGAAUCUUCCGCAAUGGGCGAAAGCCUGACGGAGCAACGCCGCGUGAGUGAUGAAGGUCCUCGGAUCGUAAAACUCUGUUAUUAGGGAAGAACAUAUGUGUAAGUAACUGUGCACAUCUUGACGGUACCUAAUCAGAAAGCCACGGCUAACUACGUG
rnacentral:rRNA from 1 species